GAUGAACGCUGGCGGCGUGCUUAACACAUGCAAGUCGAACGAAGAAGGUUGGAAUGAGAGCUUCGGCAGGAUUUCUUUCCAUCUUAGUGGCGGACGGGUGAGUAACGUGUGGGCAACCUGCCCUGUACUGGGGAAUAAUCAUUGGAAACGAUGACUAAUACCGCAUGUGGUCCUCGGGAGGCAUCUUCUGAGGAAGAAAGGAUUUAUUCGGUACAGGAUGGGCCCGCAUCUGAUUAGCUAGUUGGUGAGAUAAAAGCCCACCAAGGCAACGAUCAGUAGCCGGCUUGAGAGAGUGUACGGCCACAUUGGGACUGAGACACGGCCCAA
rnacentral:rRNA from 1 species